rnacentral:rRNA from 1 species
CCUAAGGCGAGGGCGAAAGCCGUAGUCGAUGGGAAACAGGUUAAUAUUCCUGUACCACCACGUGAUGCGAUGGAGGGACGGAGUAGGCUAGGUGAUCAGGGCGUUGGUUGUCCCUGUUCAAGGAUGUAGGCAGAGAGCUUAGGAAAAUCCGGGCUCUUAAUGCUGAGAUCUGAUGUCGAGUUUCUACGGAAACGAAGUCAUUGAUGCCAUGCUUCCAAGAAAAGCUUCUAAGCUUCAGUCACGUGGGAUCGUACCCGAAACCGACACAGGUGGUCAGGUCGAGAAGACCAAAGCGCUUGAGAGAACUUGGGUGAAGGAACUAGGCAAAAUGGCACCGUAACUUCGGGAGAAGGUGCGCCGGUGACGGUGAUGGACCUUGCGUCCUAAGCUGUUGCCGGUCGAAGUAACCAGGCCGCUGCGACUGUUUAUUAAAAACACAGCACUCUGCAAACUCGUAAGAGGACGUAUAGGGUGUGACGCCUGCCCGGUGCCGGAAGGUUAAUUGAUGGGGUUAGCGUAUGCGAAGCUCUUGAUCGAAGCCCCGGUAAACGGCGGCCGUAACUAUAACGGUCCUAAGGUAGCGAAAUUCCUUGUCGGGUAAGUUCCGACCUGCACGAAUGGCGUAACGAUGGCGGCGCUGUCUCCACCCAAGACUCAGUGAAAUUGAAAUCGCUGUUAAGAUGCAGUGUAUCCGCGGCUAGACGGAAAGACCCCGUGAACCUUUACUACAGCUUCACAGUGGACUUUGAAUAUGCUUGUGUAGGAUAGCUGGGAGACUUUGAAACCGGGACGCUAGUUUCGGUGGAGUCAACCUUGAAAUACCAGCCUGGCAUGUUUGAGGUUCUAACCUAGACCCGUGAAUCCGGGUCAGGGACAUUGUGUGGUGGGUAGUUUGACUGGGGCGGUCUCCUCCCAAAGAGUAACGGAGGAGCACGAAGGUGGGCUCAGCGCGGUCGGAAAUCGCGCAUUGAGUGUAAAGGCACAAGCCCGCUUGACUGCGAGACUGACAAGUCGAGCAGGUACGAAAGUAGGUCUUAGUGAUCCGGUGGUUCUGUAUGGAAGGGCCAUCGCUCAACGGAUAAAAGGUACUCCGGGGAUAACAGGCUGAUACCGCCCAAGAGUUCACAUCGACGGCGGUGUUUGGCACCUCGAUGUCGGCUCAUCACAUCCUGGGGCUGAAGCAGGUCCCAAGGGUAUGGCUGUUCGCCAUUUAAAGUGGUACGCGAGCUGGGUUUAGAACGUCGUGAGACAGUUCGGUCCCUAUCUGCCGUGGGCGUAUGAGAUUUGAGAGGAGCUGCUCUUAGUACGAGAGGACCGGAGUGGACGAACCUCUGGUGUUCCGGUUGUCACGCCAGUGGCAUUGCCGGGUAGCUAUGUUCGGAAAGGAUAACCGCUGAAAGCAUAUAAGCGGGAAGCCUCUCCCAAGAUUAAAUCUCCCAGAGACUUUAUGUCUCCUAAAGAGUCGUCAUAGACUAUGACGUUGAUAGGCAAGAUGUGUAAGCGUUGUGAGGCGUUGAGCUAACUUGUACUAAUAACUCGUGAGGCUUGAUCAU